rnacentral:rRNA from 1 species
GGGUUGUGAGGUUAAGCGACUAAGCGUACACGGUGGAUGCCCUGGCAGUCAGAGGCGAUGAAGGACGUGCUAAUCUGCGAUAAGCGUCGGUAAGGUGAUAUGAACCGUUAUAACCGGCGAUUUCCGAAUGGGGAAACCCAGUGUGAUUCGUCACACUAUCAUUAACUGAAUCCAUAGGUUAAUGAGGCGAACCGGGGGAACUGAAACAUCUAAGUACCCCGAGGAAAAGAAAUCAACCGAGAUUCCCCCAGUAGCGGCGAGCGAACGGGGAGGAGCCCAGAGCCUGAAUCAGUGUGUGUGUUAGUGGAAGCGUCUGGAAAGGCGCGCGAUACAGGGUGACAGCCCCGUACACAAAAAUGCACAUACUGUGAGCUCGAUGAGUAGGGCGGGACACGUGGUAUCCUGUCUGAAUAUGGGGGGACCAUCCUCCAAGGCUAAAUACUCCUGACUGACCGAUAGUGAACCAGUACCGUGAGGGAAAGGCGAAAAGAACCCCGGCGAGGGGAGUGAAAAAGAACCUGAAACCGUGUACGUACAAGCAGUGGGAGCCUCUUUAUGGGGUGACUGCGUACCUUUUGUAUAAUGGGUCAGCGACUUAUAUUCUGUAGCAAGGUUAACCGAAUAGGGGAGCCGAAGGGAAACCGAGUCUUAACUGGGCGUUAAGUUGCAGGGUAUAGACCCGAAACCCGGUGAUCUAGCCAUGGGCAGGUUGAAGGUUGGGUAACACUAACUGGAGGACCGAACCGACUAAUGUUGAAAAAUUAGCGGAUGACUUGUGGCUGGGGGUGAAAGGCCAAUCAAACCGGGAGAUAGCUGGUUCUCCCCGAAAGCUAUUUAGGUAGCGCCUCGUGAAUUCAUCUCCGGGGGUAGAGCACUGUUUCGGCAAGGGGGUCAUCCCGACUUACCAACCCGAUGCAAACUGCGAAUACCGGAGAAUGUUAUCACGGGAGACACACGGCGGGUGCUAACGUCCGUCGUGAAGAGGGAAACAACCCAGACCGCCAGCUAAGGUCCCAAAGUCAUGGUUAAGUGGGAAACGAUGUGGGAAGGCCCAGACAGCCAGGAUGUUGGCUUAGAAGCAGCCAUCAUUUAAAGAAAGCGUAAUAGCUCACUGGUCGAGUCGGCCUGCGCGGAAGAUGUAACGGGGCUAAACCAUGCACCGAAGCUGCGGCAGCGACACUAUGUGUUGUUGGGUAGGGGAGCGUUCUGUAAGCCUGUGAAGGUGUACUGUGAGGUAUGCUGGAGGUAUCAGAAGUGCGAAUGCUGACAUAAGUAACGAUAAAGCGGGUGAAAAGCCCGCUCGCCGGAAGACCAAGGGUUCCUGUCCAACGUUAAUCGGGGCAGGGUGAGUCGACCCCUAAGGCGAGGCCGAAAGGCGUAGUCGAUGGGAAACAGGUUAAUAUUCCUGUACUUGGUGUUACUGCGAAGGGGGGACGGAGAAGGCUAUGUUGGCCGGGCGACGGUUGUCCCGGUUUAAGCGUGUAGGCUGGUUUUCCAGGCAAAUCCGGAAAAUCAAGGCUGAGGCGUGAUGACGAGGCACUACGGUGCUGAAGCAACAAAUGCCCUGCUUCCAGGAAAAGCCUCUAAGCAUCAGGUAACAUCAAAUCGUACCCCAAACCGACACAGGUGGUCAGGUAGAGAAUACCAAGGCGCUUGAGAGAACUCGGGUGAAGGAACUAGGCAAAAUGGUGCCGUAACUUCGGGAGAAGGCACGCUGAUAUGUAGGUGAAGCGACUUGCUCGUGGAGCUGAAAUCAGUCGAAGAUACCAGCUGGCUGCAACUGUUUAUUAAAAACACAGCACUGUGCAAACACGAAAGUGGACGUAUACGGUGUGACGCCUGCCCGGUGCCGGAAGGUUAAUUGAUGGGGUUAGCGCAAGCGAAGCUCUUGAUCGAAGCCCCGGUAAACGGCGGCCGUAACUAUAACGGUCCUAAGGUAGCGAAAUUCCUUGUCGGGUAAGUUCCGACCUGCACGAAUGGCGUAAUGAUGGCCAGGCUGUCUCCACCCGAGACUCAGUGAAAUUGAACUCGCUGUGAAGAUGCAGUGUACCCGCGGCAAGACGGAAAGACCCCGUGAACCUUUACUAUAGCUUGACACUGAACAUUGAGCCUUGAUGUGUAGGAUAGGUGGGAGGCUUUGAAGUGUGGACGCCAGUCUGCAUGGAGCCGACCUUGAAAUACCACCCUUUAAUGUUUGAUGUUCUAACGUUGGCCCCUGAUCGGGGUUGCGGACAGUGUCUGGUGGGUAGUUUGACUGGGGCGGUCUCCUCCUAAAGAGUAACGGAGGAGCACGAAGGUUGGCUAAUCCUGGUCGGACAUCAGGAGGUUAGUGCAAUGGCAUAAGCCAGCUUGACUGCGAGCGUGACGGCGCGAGCAGGUGCGAAAGCAGGUCAUAGUGAUCCGGUGGUUCUGAAUGGAAGGGCCAUCGCUCAACGGAUAAAAGGUACUCCGGGGAUAACAGGCUGAUACCGCCCAAGAGUUCAUAUCGACGGCGGUGUUUGGCACCUCGAUGUCGGCUCAUCACAUCCUGGGGCUGAAGUAGGUCCCAAGGGUAUGGCUGUUCGCCAUUUAAAGUGGUACGCGAGCUGGGUUUAGAACGUCGUGAGACAGUUCGGUCCCUAUCUGCCGUGGGCGCUGGAGAACUGAGGGGGGCUGCUCCUAGUACGAGAGGACCGGAGUGGACGCAUCACUGGUGUUCGGGUUGUCAUGCCAAUGGCACUGCCCGGUAGCUAAAUGCGGAAGAGAUAAGUGCUGAAAGCAUCUAAGCACGAAACUUGCCCCGAGAUGAGUUCUCCCUGACUCCCUGAGAGUCCUGAAGGAACGUUGAAGACGACGACGUUGAUAGGCCGGGUGUGUAAGCGCAGCGAUGCGUUGAGCUAACCGGUACUAAUGAACCGUGAGGCUUAACCUUACAACGCCGAAG